UGCCUAUGAUUAAUAUUGUAUAAGAGUAGUGGACAGAAGUGAUUUCUGAUAAUCUUUACGCUGAGGCA